rnacentral:rRNA from 1 species
AAGCGGGGGAAAAGAAACUAACAAGGAUUCCCCUAGUAGCGGCGAGCGAAGCGGGAAGAGCUCAAAUUUGUAAUCUGGCGCUUUCAGCGUCCGAGUUGUAAUCUCUAGAAAUGUUUUCCGCGUUGCACCGCACACAAGUCUGUUGGAAUACAGCGGCACAGUGGUGAGACCCCCGUUCAUGGUGCGGAUGCGCAAUGCUUUGUGAUACAUUUUCGAAGAGUCGAGUUGUUUGGGAAUGCAGCUCAAAUUGGGUGGUAAAUUCCAUCUAAAGCUAAAUAUUGGCGAGAGACCGAUAGCGAACAAGUACCGUGAGGGAAAGAUGAAAAGCACUUUGGAAAGAGAGUUAACAGUACGUGAAAUUGUUGGAAGGGAAACGCUUGAAGUCAGACUUGCUGUUCGGAGUUCAGCCGCAAGGUGUACUCUCCGAGUUGCAGGCCAGCAUCAGUUUUUCGGGGUGGAAAAUCACGGUUUGAAGGUAGCAGUUUCGGCUGUGUUAUAGCUUUCCGUUGGAUACAUCCUGGGGGACUGAGGAACGCAGUGUGCUUUUAGCAGGGGUUUCGACCUCUUCACACUUAGGAUGCUGGUGGAAUGGCUUU